rnacentral:rRNA from 1 species
ACGGGUGAGUAACGCGUGGGAACGUGCCUUCUGGUUCGGAAUAACUCAGGGAAACUUGAGCUAAUACCGGAUACGCCCUUUUUGGGGAAAGGUUUACUGCCGGAAGAUCGGCCCGCGUCUGAUUAGCUAGUUGGUGGGGUAACGGCCUACCAAGGCGACGAUCAGUAGCUGGUCUGAGAGGAUGAUCAGCCACACUGGGACUGAGACACGGCCCAGACUCCUACGGGAGGCAGCAGUGGGGAAUAUUGGACAAUGGGCGCAAGCCUGAUCCAGCCAUGCCGCGUGAGUGAUGAAGGCCUUAGGGUUGUAAAGCUCUUUUAUCCGGGACGGUAAUGACGGUACCGGAGGAAUAAGCCCCGGCUAACUUCGUGCCAGCAGCCGCGGUAAUACGAAGGGGGCUAGCGUUGCUCGGAAUCACUGGGCGUAAAGGGCGCGUAGGCGGUCUUUUAAGUCGGGGGUGAAAGCCUGUGGCUCAACCACGGAAUUGCCUUCGAUACUGGGAGACUUGAGUUCGGAAGAGGUUGGUGGAACUGCGAGUGUAGAGGUGAAAUUCGUAGA